rnacentral:rRNA from 1 species
GCUAGUACGGCGAGUGAGCGGGAUGAGCUCAAAUUUAAAAUCUGGCUGCCUCAGGUGGUCCGAGUUGUAGUCUCGAGAAGUGUUUUCCGCGUUGGCCUGUGUACAAGUCCUUUGGAAUAAGGCGUCAUAGAGGGUGAGAAUCCCGUCCUUGACACAGAUCCCCAAUGCUUUGUGAUGCGCUCUCAAAGAGUCGAGUUGUUUGGGAAUGCAGCUCAAAAUGGGUGGUAAAUUCCAUCUAAAGCUAAAUAUUGGCGAGAGACCGAUAGCGAACAAGUACCGUGAGGGAAAGAUGAAAAGCACUUUGGAAAGAGAGUUAAACAGUACGUGAAAUUGUUGAAAGGGAAACGAUUGAAGUCAGUCAUGCUCGUAGGGAUUCAACCGGUUCUGCCGGCCUAUUUCCCUACUUGCAGGCCAGCAUCAGUUUUGACCGGUGGAAAAGGUUGGAGGGAAUGUGGCAUCCUCGGAUGUGUUAUAGCCCUCUUUCGCAUACAUCGGUUGGGACUGAGGAACGCAGCACGCCUUUAUGGUCGGUCUUCGGACACGUACGUGCUUAGGAUGCUGGCAUAAUGGCUUUAAACGACCCGUCUUGAACCCCGA